UGCAAAAUCCCUUCUCCCAACGCCACUUCGUCAUCAUUUUUUGUGCCAACCCUCCGUGUGCAACGGUUUGCGCCACAUCAGAAUUCCAUCCCCAACCAACAAGAUCUAUCGUUUCAGCGCACAUAUCAUAAAUGCCCCCCAACAUGGUGAUGCCCAUCUGCAUGUCUGCACCUCCUACUAAUUGUCAACCUCAGAUUGUGAGGGCCUUACCUCCC
rnacentral:lncRNA from 1 species